AACGAACGCUGGCGGCAUGCCUAACACAUGCAAGUCGAACGGGAUCCUAGCUUGCUAGGUGAGAGUGGCGGACGGGUGAGUAACACGUGGGAAUCUGCCUUUUGGUUCGGGAUAACCGCGGGAAACUGCGGCUAAUACCGAAUGCCCUCGAGAGAGGAAAGAUUUAUCGCCAGAAGAGGAGCCCGCGUCCGAUUAGGUAGUUGGUGGGGUAAAGGCCUACCAAGCCGACGAUCGGUAGCUGGUCUGAGAGGAUGAUCAGCCACACUGGGACUGAGGUACGGCCCAGACUCCUACGGGAGGCAGCAGUGGGGAAUAUUGGACAAUGGGGGCAACCCUGAUCCAGCCAUGCCGCGUGUGUGAAGAAGGCCUUCGGUGUAAGCACUUUGUUGGGAGAAAGACCGCUGGUAAUACCGGUGGUCAUGACGGUACCAACGAAUAAGACACCGGCUAACUUACGUGCCAGCAGCCGCGGUAAU
rnacentral:rRNA from 1 species